CAUGCACGUCCUGACGGACUUUUAAUUUGAAAGAAGUUUAACUAAUGACGUGGCUUUAACCCGAAAGCGGAAGACGAUUGGGAAGCGUCAACAGCCUUCAUUCUACCGGCCUCCCAAAUCACAGAUCUACGUUAACCAUGGUUACUGACGUUCAACUGGCAAUAUUUGCCAACAUGCUCGGCGUGUCGCUGUUCCUGCUUGUGGUGCUGUACCAUUAUGUGGCUGUCAACAAUCCCAAGAAAUUAGAAUAACCCCCUCCGCGUCUAAGUGUUAAGAUUGAUUAUGGGACCACCACAGGAGUAACAUCACUACACAUGACAGCGAGACGAAAUCACCAUGUUUAAAUGUUUUCUACGAAAAUGUUGUGAAUAAACCUUUUUCAUGAUA